UGCUUUUGUGUGUUUUUCAUUUAACUCAUGGACAAACUUAUAAACAGGUGCAAAUAUUAAACCUCUUUUGCAAUCUAAAACUCAUUGUUCAGUAUGAGUCUUGAUACAUAUAAGAAAGAAUAUU